rnacentral:rRNA from 1 species
GACGAACGCUGGCGGCGUGCUUAACACAUGCAAGUCGAACGGAAAGGCCCUCGCCUUGGUGGGGGUGCUCGAGUGGCGAAUGGGUGAGUAACACGUGGGUGAUCUGCCCUGUACUUCGGGGUAAGCUUGGGAAACCGGGUCUAAUACCGGAUAGGACCAUGGUUUAGUGUCUCAUGGUGGAAAAAUUAUUGUUUUGGUGCAGGAUGAGCUCGCGGCCUAUCAGCUUGUUGGUGGGGUAAUGGCCUACCAAGGCGUCGACGGGUAGCCGGCCUGAGAGGGUGGACGGCCACAUUGGGACUGAGAUACGGCCCAGACUCCUACGGGAGGCAGCAGUGGGGAAUAUUGCACAAUGGGCGCAAGCCUGAUGCAGCGACGCCGCGUGGGGGAUGACGGCCUUCGGGUUGUAAACUCCUUUCGUUAGGGACGAAGCCACACUUUUUUUGGGUGUGGUGACGGUACCUUUGUUAAGAAGCACCGGCUAACUACGUGCCAGCAGCCGCGGUAAUACGUAGGGUGCGAGCGUUGUCCGGAAUUACUGGGCGUAAAGAGCUCGUAGGUGGUUUGUUGCGUCGUCUGUGAAAUUCCGGGGCUUAACUUCGGGGUGGCAGGCGAUACGGGCAUAACUAGAGUGCUGUAGGGGAGACUGGAAUUCCUGGUGUAGCGGUGGAAUGCGCAGAUAUCAGGAGGAACACCGAUGGCGAAGGCAGGUCUCUGGGCAGUAACUGACGCUGAGGAGCGAAAGCAUGGGGAGCGAACAGGAUUAGAUACCCUGGUAGUCCAUGCUGUAAACGGUGGGCGUUAGGUGUGGGGACCGGUUUGGUUUCUGUGCCGUAGCUAACGCAUUAAGCGCCCCGCCUGGGGAGUACGGCCGCAAGGCUAAAACUCAAAGGAAUUGACGGGGGCCCGCACAAGCGGCGGAGCAUGUGGAUUAAUUCGAUGCAACGCGAAGAACCUUACCUGGGUUUGACAUGCACCAGACGGUUGUAGAGAUACGUACCUCCCUUUGUGGUUGGUGUGCAGGUGGUGCAUGGUUGUCGUCAGCUCGUGUCGUGAGAUGUUGGGUUAAGUCCCGCAACGAGCGCAACCCUUGUCUUAUGUUGCCAGCACGUUUGGGUGGGGACUCAUGAGAGACUGCCGGGGUUAACUCGGAGGAAGGUGGGGAUGACGUCAAAUCAUCAUGCCCUUUAUGCCCAGGGCUUCACACAUGCUACAAUGGUUAGUACAACGCGCGGCGAGCCUGUGAGGGUGAGCGAAUCGCUGAAAGCUAAUCUCAGUUCGGAUUGGGGUCUGCAACUCGACCCCAUGAAGUCGGAGUCGCUAGUAAUCGCAGAUCAGCAAUGCUGCGGUGAAUACGUUCCCGGGCCU